CUCCAGGGCUGCUACAUGGUCAGAUAAGAUUUAUGGACAGAAAAAGGAAGGUGACAUACAGGAAUUGUGAGCUACAGAAACAGCUGGGUUAGUUACAGCUCAGCGUUUUCCUCAUUGGUACAAGGUCUGAACAGCUGGCCGCCUGCGACUGGCUGAGACUCAGCCAUUGUUACAGAAGCAUACUGCUGAGUUGAGUUUUCAGUUUGUUUAGGUACUAAGUUAGCUUGUUGUUCCUAAGUAAGAACUCAAGUAUGUGAGUACAGAGGCUUUCUCAGGCCAAAUUUAGUUUGAUUUAACAGAAGUGAGGAGCAACCAGCCUCAUUCUCACUGUGGCUGGGUGUGGGCAUGUCCUGGGCCCUCCCACAGCUCUAGGAAUUGCCUGAGAGACAGACGAAGUGGACAAAGUCGCUGACAGACCUGAGUUACUGCCUUGGUCCUGGUGACCCUGCUCCAGGCAGUCCAUCUCUGUCUGCGAUCCCGGCACCACUCCCGGUGGUUCAUUAUUGCCCAGAGGGGCCUCUGGAGUGCAAGCCUCAAACAGGGAGACAGACCUGGGAAGACUCCAUGAGGCUCCACAGCAACCAGACAGUUCUAAAGUCAGCGUCCCUGGCUUCCAGCUCCAACACUGGACAUUCCCCCGUGGCUCCCCUGCCUGGGAAUCUGGUGGAGGCUGAUUGGGCAGCCCAGGGGAUGCCGGUGGGGUGCGGGGAGGAAAGGCUGCAAGGGCAGCUUGGCUGGAUCAUGGAGGCCCGGGUGAGGCAUUCGGACUUACUCUAAGGGCAAGAGAGUGAGAGACUGCAGCUUGGAGAGGACAGCGGUGCUUUGGAAGAUGAAUCUGGCUCGUUGUGCUGUAAGAAAAGGAGGGAGGAGAGCAGCUUUCUAGGUGACCUGGGGCUGUGACAGUAGGUAUGAGGGACGUGAGGGGUCUGAGACAAGCAGUGAGGGUGCACUGCCCAGCCUUCCUGCUUGUGGGUUAGGAGCUGUCGGUGAGGAUUCUAAGGGUGUGACCCUUGAUGAUGAGGUGAAUGUGUUAUGGCUCACAGGAACAGGGAAGAUGGGAGGAGGAGUGGGCUUACAGCAAAGAGAAGCGUUUUAUUUUAUUCAGCUUGGCCGUGAGACUUCUCUGUGGCGAUAGGUGAGUUUGCCAAAUCUGGAGCUCGAGAACCAAGUCAAGGCUGUAGCUGCAUAUUUAGGAGUAAAGGUAGAAAUUGAAGUAAUGGGAGGGAGUAAGAGUGUUGAAGAUGGAAGUUUUUCAUGCCAGAAAUAAGCUGUUUAAGGAAAUGACCAAUCUCCUAGAAAUCUCCAAGGCCUAUGUUAAAAC
rnacentral:lncRNA from 1 species